AUUUGCGCAUGGGCGAAAGCCUGCGCAGCGACGCCGCGUGGGGGAUGAAGCUUCUCGGAGUGUAAACCCCUUUCGACCCGGACGAAUGACCCGCAAGGGUUUGACGGUACGGGUAUAAGAAGCCCCGGCUAACUACGUGCCAGCAGCCGCGGUAAUACGUAGGGGGCCAGCGUUGCUCGGAAUUACUGGGCGUAAAGGGUUCGUAGGUGGUGCGGCAAGUUGGGAGUGAAAUCUCUGGGCUUAACUCAGAGGCUGCUUUCAAAACUGCCGUGCUCGAGUGCGAGAGAGGCCAGUGGAAUUGCAGGUGUAGCGGUGAAAUGCGUAGAUAUCUGCAGGAACACCCGUGGCGAAGGCGGCUGGCUGGAUCGCAACUGACACUGAGGAACGAAAGCUAGGGGAGCAAACAGGAUUAGAUACCCUGGUAGUCCUAGCCCUAAACCAUCAGAACUUGGGGUGGCCCGCGUAGGCGGGUCGUCCCGUAGCUAACGCGUUAAGUUCUGCGCCUGGGGAGUACGGUCGCAAGACUGAAACUCAAAAAAAUUGACGGA
rnacentral:rRNA from 1 species